UACGUAGGUGGCAAGCGUUGUCCGGAAUUAUUGGGCGUAAAGCGCGCGCAGGCGGUCUCUUAAGUCUGAUGUGAAAGCCCACGGCUCAACCGUGGAGGGGCAUUGGAAACUGGGGGACUUGAGUACAGAAGAGGAAAGCGGAAUUCCACGUGUAGCGGUGAAAUGCGUAGAGAUGUGGAGGAACACCAGUGGCGAAGGCGGCUUUCUGGUCUGUAACUGACGCUGAGGCGCGAAAGCGUGGGGAGCAAACAGG
rnacentral:rRNA from 1 species